GAAGGUGGGCGUUGCUGCUGCUGCUGCUGCUACCUCUUAGACUGGGAAAAGAGUCAAAAGCCAAAUAACCCCUCCUGGCAUUCAGCUAAGGUCUGAAGACUUCCCAGAUUGUCUGUGGACCUCCAUAACAAGAACCACAAGUUGCAAAAUUCAAUAGGUCAUUUUGUAUCAAAAGGUCAAUUAUUAUGAGGCACCUAGAAUUUUUCAAUUAUAACAAUAUAUUCUAUGGGUUCUGCUAUGGCCCGGGUGGUAACUUUUUUUCUUUUCUAUUGGGGGGCUUCUGAUUUUUUUUCCCCUCCCAGAAAUUGGUUUUGAUGUACCCAAGACUUAAGUUUCUCAAUAAAGAAAAGUAAAUAUAAACUGGC